AUGGGAGCCAUGUUGGUUACAGUAAUACUAUUAGCAACCAGAAAAUCCCAGAAUGUAAGCACGAUGCAAUUACAUCAGCAUACUGUACGACUCCAUACAGACGGUGAAAUGACACCAACAGAAACAACAUCAUCAACAACAUCAACAACAUCAACAACAUCAUCAACAGAAGGAACUACAGUAUUACAGUCGCCUCCUAAAGACCAGAGAACACCUCUUAGUUUGGUGAUUGAAGUCCUUUUCCUCUUCCUCUUCAUCAUCAUCAACACCAACAUCAUCAUCUGCUGUAGACAGAGAUGCAGGUUUGAGAGACAAGGUGAACAAACUGAGUGAAUAGACUGACGUGUCAAAGGCUGAUUGUUUUUGGUUUUUAUAUUUAUAUUUGGGGCUUUUUGAAGCAAGGAAAGUGGAAGAGAGAGGAGACGACACGCAGCUAGGGGCCACAGGUCAGACUCAAACCCACGGUCGCUACAGCUCAGCCUCGGUACAUGUGGUACCAGCUCUACCAGGUCAGCUACCAGGGCACCCUCCCUCCCCUGGUUUGUCAUUUUAAAGCAGAUAAUCACUGAUUACUCAGCAGAUUACUGAAACUGAGAACUUGUGACAAUCUUAUUCUGCAGAGACUGAAGAAAUGGACCCCGAGUAUGACGAUAUAGAGGAUGGAUCAUUGUUUCAAUCUACAAACGGUGAUCACUCAGGGCUCUUCUCCUCCUUCUUUCUUGUCUAACUUUAUAAAUUGGAUGAAUCUCACGUUGAUGUCCACAGAUUUCUAAAGUUCAGAAACUGUAAUCAGGUUUAUCCUUGAGUUGGUUCUGGUUAAUGAUGGCUGUUGGUUAAUGUUUUAAUAGAUGAAUCAAACCACAGUGAUCCAACGUAUUCAACCAUCCCUGAUCUUCCUCCAGUGCAAAUGAAGAUAUAAAGACAUCUACAUUUACAGUCACACAUUUUAACAUUGAACCAAAUGGUUAUUCAUUGUAUUUAAUAUUUUUUUACAGACACAUUUCUGCCUAAUAAGUUCUCGUAAUCCUGGAUCAGCUGCACUUUUCUUGGUGGAAAUAAUAAAGGUAACUUUAAUCAUCAGCUCCACAUUCUGGGUUUGUUGUAUUAAAUGUAAAUACAUUUGUACUGUAGGUUUACUGGAUCAAAGAGCCGUUAUAAUAUGAGAUUUCUUUUCCUCACAGCCGACUGACAACACGUAUUCUUUACUAGAGAAACCCAAAGCAGCUGGAAACCAGUGACCAACGUUGGACCUGAAUAUUGAGCCGCUGUUGGGUUGAAACAUGUUUCUGUAAGAGCUGUUUAUAGGAAAAUACUGUGAGGGAAAAGCUGAUUUAUGUU
rnacentral:lncRNA from 15 species